rnacentral:ncRNA from 3 species
UAGUUGGUGGAGCGAUUUGUCUG